GAUGAACGCUGGCGGCGUGCCUAAUACAUGCAAGUCGAGCGAACAGACGAGGAGCUUGCUCCUCUGACGUUAGCGGCGGACGGGUGAGUAACACGUGGAUAACCUACCUAUAAGACUGGGAUAACUUCGGGAAACCGGAGCUAAUACCGGAUAACAUGUUGAACCGCAUGGUUCAACAGUGAAAGACGGUCUUGCUGUCACUUAUAGAUGGAUCCGCGCCGCAUUAGCUAGUUGGUAAGGUAACGGCUUACCAAGGCAACGAUGCGUAGCCGACCUGAGAGGGUGAUCGGCCACACUGGAACUGAGACACGGUCCAGACUCCUACGGGAGGCAGCAGUAGGGAAUCUUCCGCAAUGGGCGAAAGCCUGACGGAGCAACGCCGCGUGAGUGAAGAAGGUCUUCGGAUCGUAAAACUCUGUUAUUAGGGAAGAACAAAUGUGUAAGUAACUAUGCACGUCUCGACGGUACCUAAUCAGAAAGCCACGGCUAACUACGUG
rnacentral:rRNA from 1 species